GAGGAAGGAGCUUGUCAGCCCAGUCUGCUGCAGUGUGCCACCUCUUUCUUGGUUCAGCCUGAAGAUUCAAGCCCAGUCUCUUCUAAAGCUACUACCUUGGGUCAGUAAAUGAAGCAGAGGGAGCAGCACAACCUUUCUCCAUCAUUGAUUUGUGAACUUCAAAAGGCCUGAAGAUCUGGUCAGCUGGGAAUUCAAAACUACCAAGUUCUGCUAUUGUGCAGUGCAUUUGUCUCCAUAGUGUGCUCCAGGACAAUGUGAGAUACUUGAUUAAAUUUUUUGCUAAAUGUGAGGUAAACUAUAGCUAUAACAUUCCUGUCUUCUAACCAAAUAAGCCAAGAAAUAAAAAUAAAACUAAUCUGGUGUGAC
rnacentral:lncRNA from 1 species